AGAGCGAACGCUGGCGGCAGGCUUAACACAUGCAAGUCGAGCGGGCGUAGCAAUACGUCAGCGGCAGACGGGUGAGUAACGCGUGGGAACGUACCUUUUGGUUCGGAACAACACAGGGAAACUUGUGCUAAUACCGGAUAAGCCCUUACGGGGAAAGAUUUAUCGCCGAAAGAUCGGCCCGCGUCUGAUUAGCUAGUUGGUGAGGUAACGGCUCACCAAGGCGACGAUCAGUAGCUGGUCUGAGAGGAUGAUCAGCCACAUUGGGACUGAGACACGGCCCAAACUCCUACGGGAGGCAGCAGUGGGGAAUAUUGGACAAUGGGCGAAAGCCUGAUCCAGCCAUGCCGCGUGAGUGAUGAAGGCCCUAGGGUUGUAAAGCUCUUUUGUGCGGGAAGAUAAUGACGGUACCGCAAGAAUAAGCCCCGGCUAACUUCGCGCCAGCAGCCGC
rnacentral:rRNA from 1 species